rnacentral:rRNA from 1 species
GAGUUGUUUGGGAAUGCUGCUCAAAAUGGGAGGUAAACCCCUUCUAAAGCUAAAUACCGGCCAGAGACCGAUAGCGCACAAGUAGAGUGAUCGAAAGAUGAAAAGCACUUUGAAAAGAGAGUUAAAAAGCACGUGAAAUUGUUAAAAGGGAAGCGCUUGCGACCAGACUUGCGCCCGUCGGAUCAACCGUCGCUUGCGGCGGCGCACUCCGGCGGGCUCAGGCCAGCAUCAGUUCGCUCGGGGGGAGAAAGGCGGCGGGAAUGUAGCUCCUCGGAGUGUUAUAGCCCGCCGUGUAAUACCCUCGGGUGGACUGAGGACCGCGCGUAUGCAAGGAUGCUGGCGUAAUGGUCGUCAGCAACCCGUCUUGAAACAC